UCCGCCUGAGAACUACGAGCACAAACGCUUAAAACUCUAAGGACUUGGCGGUGCCCCAAACCCACCUAAAGGAGCCUGUUCUAUAAUCGAUAACCCACGAUACACCCAACCACUCCUUGCCAGUGCAGCCUACAUACCGCCGUUCGCCAGCUCACCUCCUCUGAGGGCCCAACAGUGAGCACAAUAGCCCCUACCCGCUAACAAGACAGGUCAAGGUAUAUCCCACGGAGUGGAAGAAAUGGGCUACAUUUUCUAAAAUAGAUAACCACACGGAAGGGGGUGUGAAACCUCCCCCAGAAGGCGGAUUUAUCAGUAA
rnacentral:rRNA from 1 species